UACGAAGGGGGCUAGCGUUGCUCGGAAUCACUGGGCGUAAAGGGUGCGUAGGCGGGUCUUUAAGUCAGGGGUGAAAUCCUGGAGCUCAACUCCAGAACUGCCUUUGAUACUGAGGAUCUUGAGUUCGGGAGAGGUGAGUGGAACUGCGAGUGUAGAGGUGAAAUUCGUAGAUAUUCGCAAGAACACCAGUGGCGAAGGCGGCUCACUGGCCCGAUACUGACGCUCAGGCGCGACAGCGUGGGGAUCAAACAGG
rnacentral:rRNA from 1 species